rnacentral:rRNA from 1 species
UAGAAUUGACGGGGCCGCACAAGCGGAGGAACAUGUGGUUUAAUUCGAUGAUACGCGAGGAACCUUACCUGGGCUUAAAUGUAGAGUGCAUUUUUAGAGAUAGAAAUUCCCUUCGGGGCUUUCUGCAAGGUGCUGCAUGGUUGUCGUCAGCUCGUGCCGUGAGGUGUCGGGUUAAGUCCCAUAACGAGCGCAACCCUUAUCGUUAGUUGCCAUCUGGUAAUGCAGGGGACUCUAGCGAAACUGCCACCGUAAGGUGAGAGGAAGGUGGGGAUGACGUCAAAUCAGCACGGCCCUUAUGUCCAGGGCUACACACGUGUUACAAUGGCCGGUACAGAGGGCAGCUACCUGGAGACAGGAUGCGAAUCUCGAAAGCCGGUCUCAGUUCGGAUCGGAGUCUGCAACUCGGCUCCGUGAAGCUGGAUUCGCUAGUAAUCGCGCAUCAGCCAUGGCGCGGUGAAUACGUUCCCGGGCCUU